rnacentral:rRNA from 1 species
UCAGGCCUAACACAUGCAAGUCGAACGGUAACAGGAUGUGCUUGCACAUCGCUGACGAGUGGCGGACGGGUGAGUAAUGCUUGGGAACUUGCCUUUGCGAGGGGGAUAACAGUUGGAAACGACUGCUAAUACCGCAUAAUGUCUUCGGACCAAACGGGGCUUCGGCUCCGGCGCAGAGAGAGGCCCAAGUGAGAUUAGCUAGUUGGUGAGGUAAAGGCUCACCAAGGCGACGAUCUCUAGCUGUUCUGAGAGGAAGAUCAGCCACACUGGGACUGAGACACGGCCCAGACUCCUACGGGAGGCAGCAGUGGGGAAUAUUGCACAAUGGGGGAAACCCUGAUGCAGCCAUGCCGCGUGUGUGAAGAAGGCCUUCGGGUUGUAAAGCACUUUCAGUUGUGAGGAAAAGUUGGUAGUUAAUACCUGCCAGCCGUGACGUUAACAACAGAAGAAGCACCGGCUAACUCCGUGCCAGCAGCCGCGGUAAUACGGAGGGUGCGAGCGUUAAUCGGAAUUACUGGGCGUAAAGCGCACGCAGGCGGUUUGUUAAGCUAGAUGUGAAAGCCCCGGGCUCAACCUGGGAUGGUCAUUUAGAACUGGCAGACUAGAGUCUUGGAGAGGGGAGUGGAAUUCCAGGUGUAGCGGUGAAAUGCGUAGAUAUCUGGAGGAACAUCAGUGGCGAAGGCGACUCCCUGGCCAAAGA